rnacentral:sRNA from 1 species
GCCAGGUGCAGUGGUGCAUGCCUGUAAUCCCAACAGCUCGGGAGGCUGAGGCAGGAGGAUCACAAGUUCAAAGCCAGCCUCAGCAACUUAGUGAGACCCUAAGCCACUCAGCAAUACCCUGUCUCUA